UACUGGAUCGUCAGUGCCAUGGUGGAGAAAGCACUUUGGAUAUAUCAAAUUUUAUCAUAGUUGAGCUAAAAAUUUUCAAACUAAGAAGGAGCAAGCCUUUUGUUAACUUUUAUCAUUACUCGGAUCAAAAUAAGACUAUAAUUAGAACCUAUCUUAGAAAGAUGCGAUACAAUUUUCUUAGGAUACCGAUUGAUCCAAUAGCAACC
rnacentral:lncRNA from 1 species